AACGAACGCUGGCGGCAGGCUUCAUACAUGCAAGUCGAGCGAGCUUUGCAGCAAUGCAAAGUUAGCGGCGAACGGGUGAGUAACAGGUGGAUAAUCUGCCCUCUGGCGGGGGAUACCGGUUGGAAACGACCGUUAAUACCGCAUGUGGUUGCGGGGUCUUAGGGCCCUGUAAAGAAAGGCGCUGCAAGGCGUCACCAGAGGAUGAGUCCGCCCCCCAUUAGCUAGUUGGCGGGAGUAACAGCCCACCCAAGGCGUUCGAUGGGUAGGCCGAGCUGAGAGGUUGGAUCGGCCACACUGGGAC
rnacentral:rRNA from 1 species